AGAGCCAGGCUGUGUCCUGGAGCCAUCGGCCCCGUUGCAGGUGCUGCUCUGACUCUUCAAGUCUGUCCUCUCCCAUGAGACGGAUGCAAAGGAAAAGUGGCUGCGAGGGCCAGCUGCUUGUUCAAGAUCAUGCAGCCAGCAGUGGCAGAGCUGGGGACAGAGCCACGGCUGCUUACCACGAGACCACGGGCCUCAUAGUGGAGGCCUCAGUCCCCAGCACAGUUCCUGAGACACAGGGCUUUGGAAUGACAUGAUUGUCCAGUGCCUUCAGAUUGGAACAGGUAGAAGAUUCUCCUCCACGUGGAGUGGGAAGUCGGCAGGCAAAGAAAAUCCCAGGAGUGCCGAGGAAACGCUGUCAAGAUGUCAAAAAUACGCGGAAAGGGAAAAAAGGAAUUGCUACGGAAAGAGAGGUGGGAGAGGAACCCAGUCAAUUUCACCUGCUCCCCUUCCUCCAGGAAGAAUCGGAACCGAAAGCUUAAUAAGUGUGGUUGUUUUGAUAUUCGAAUCAUGAGACCCAAGGCAUCGUAGGGGACCUCGCCUGCAUCCAUUCGCCUAUCCAUCCUACAGCAGCGACUGCACCCCUGAUUGUGAUGACGAAUGCACCCCCAUCCUUGGGCUCCGUGCCCACUGCUGGGCUGGGCUGCUCCCUCAGGUGCGGCAGCCAGAGGAGGUGUGGACUCCCAUCCCACGCGUUUAUCCUCCUGCAGCCUCUCGAGCUUGGUGGCAUAGCCGUCCUUCCAGUCCCCAAGCCAGAUGUCCUUGAUGCCCCUUCUCCCAGCCCCAUCCCCAUCGCCAGUUGUAUCAGUUUUCUAUUGCUACUGUAACAACUCACUACAAAUUGAGUGGCUUAAAACAACACACAUCUACUCUCUUACAGUUCUAUAGGUCAGAAAUCUGACAUGGUCUCAGAGGGCUAAAUUCAAGGUGUCUGCAGGACAGUGUUCCUGCUGGAGGCUCUUGAGGGAGAAUCGGUUUCCUUGCCUUUUCCAAGUAUAGAGGCCGCCCACAUUGGCCCCCUUCCGUCUUCAAAGCCAGCAAUAGCUCCGAGUCUUUCCUCCCUAGCAUCGCUGUGACGCUGACUCUCCUGCCUCCCUCUUCCACAUUUAAGAACCUUGUGAUUACAUUGGUCCUCCCAGAUAAUCCAGAAUAAUCUCCCCAUCGCAAAAUCAGCUGAUUAGCAACCUCAAUUCCACCUGCAACCUUAAUUCUCCCCUGUCAUGAAAUAUAAGAAGGAGAUCCAUAUGUUCCGGGGAUUGGGAUGCAGACAUUUUGGAGGCAUUGUUCUGCCGACCACGCCAUCCUGACAGUUUUACCUCUGGAAUCUCUGCAGUCCACCUCCGCCUCGCCAUUCCUGCACCACUCCCUUUCUGGUUACCCGCUAUUUUCCCAAGAUGCCUUCAGUAGCACCUAUCCACUGUUGUCAUCUCUCUAACCUCCCUCUGUCCACAGUCCCCUGGGCCCCCACUCCAAGACAAAGAUGCAGAUGUCGCUACUUCCAUGGCACUGUCAUCUGCAAGGGAGCAUCCUAACUCUCCUUGGGCACACACAGGCCCUCAACCUGCCCUACCCCAUUGGUUCCUCCGGAUCCAUGACCCCUCCCACCCUCCGCCUCACACCCCUGUGCUCCCUUAAUAGUAAAUCACUUCUGGUUCUCUUAAGAUCCUGGGGCAUUUGGUUCUUCCUGGCCUUGGCCUGUGUGGCUCCCAUUCUCUGAACUGUCCUGCCCACCUUUAUUCGCCUCCCCCAGGAAGCCUCCCUGACCCCCCAGACCCUUUCAUUGCCCUCCCUUGGAACAGAAAUGUGCUUUUCACUGACUGGAUUGGCCCAAAGAGAUCUGAACUUGAGGCUGCCUCCUCAUGUCACUGAGAGCCCUCUGGGGUGGGCACUGUGCCUUGCUUGCCUCUUUGGUCAUAGUGCCCAGCAUGAGAUUGGUCACAUAGUAGGUGCUCAAUGAACUCAGAUUGAACUAAACUCAAGGACUUGGUCGGGGGGUGGUGGUGGUGAGAAGACCAGCUGGGCUGCUUGGGGAAGUAAAGUAUAAAGUUGGAUGGAAAAGCACGAG
rnacentral:lncRNA from 1 species